rnacentral:rRNA from 1 species
UAAUACGGGGGGGGCAAGCGUUGUUCGGAAUUACUGGGCGUAAAGGGCGCGUAGGCGGUUGGAUAAGUCAGCUGUGAAAACCACGGGCUUAACUCGUGGCCUGCAGUUGAGACUGUCUGGCUUGAGUGUGGGAGAGGAGAGUGGAAUUCCUGGUGUAGCGGUGAAAUGCGUAGAUAUCAGGAGGAACACCGGUGGCGAAGGCGGCUCUCUGGACCACAACUGACGCUGAGGCGCGAAAGCUAGGGGAGCAAACAGGAUUAGAUACCCUGGUAGUCCUAGCUGUAAACGAUGGAUACUUGCUGUGGGGGGUGUUAAAUCCCCCUGUGGCGGAGCUAACGCGUUAAGUAUCCCGCCUGGGGAGUACGGUCGCAAGGCU